GGGGUCAUGAACUAGCUUUUUAAAUUUUUUUAUAUUGUUGUCUGAGGUCAGCUUAUGACGUUCGCUUGGUUUUUACAUUCAAAAACAUCAAAAUGAAUAAGUAAUAGGCUAUUUUCUACCCUAGUUUUGAGCCUAGCUCAAAAACGCUCGGUUGUUAUGGGCGUCUCGCAUUGAAGACUUGGAAGUAAACGCCCACUGCUGUGAGUGGAUAACAGUUUUGCAUAUUAUAAUGAGUUUCUACUCAGCUCGAUCUGGUUUGUCAUCACGAGGUAGGCCCAUGUUAUUUAGCUAUGCUCGUUUGCUGAGCCUGGUGUCAAUAAAAGCUUUUAUUGGACUAACAAGGACGUUUUCAGUUCUGAAACUUACAGGAUAUUCUUAUAAUAUGAUGACCUCUUAGAUGUCAAAAGCUCAAGGAAAAUUUGAUUUCUCAGUUCAUCACCCCUUUAACAAUAAAACAAAAA